rnacentral:rRNA from 1 species
ACGGAGGAUGCGAGCGUUAUCCGGAUUUAUUGGGUUUAAAGGGUGCGUAGGCGGAUUAAUAAGUCAGUUGUGAAAACCUUCAGCUUAACUGGAGAACUGCCAUUGAUACUGUUAGGCUUGAGUACGGUCAAGGUAGGCGGAAUUCCUAGUGUAGAGGUGAAAUGCGUAGAUAUUAGGAGGAACACCGGUUGCGAAGGCGGCUUACUGGGCCUUUACUGACGCUGAGACGCGAGAGCGUGGGUAGCAAACAG